UACCAUCCGAUGGGAUACUUUGACCACAAAAGAAGAAGCCUUGAGUUUCAUCAAGGAAGUGUGUAUACCUCAACCUUGGUAUUUAUCAAUAUGUAUCGACGAUCGAUCCAUUGGAUUCUUAUGGGUAAUCCAUCCGGCCAUGUCGGAUUGUCUUCAUGAGGAGGUAAUUGAAGCUGCAGAUAUAGGUUACGCGAUUGCAGUUGAGUAUUGGGGGCAAGGAAUUGCUACAAAGGCACUCAAAAUGGCAAUCCCUCGAGUGUUUAAUGACUUCCCUCAAAUAGUAAAGAUUAUAGCCUAUGCUGGUUUGACGAAUAAGGCUUCUCAUAGGGUUUUGGAGAAGGCUGGGUUUCAAUACGAACGUUCACUAACGUUGCAUGGCGACUUCAAGGAAUAUGGAAAUAAGGUUGUUUUAGUAGUAUACAACUUACUAUCCACAAAUAUAUAACGGAGUUUUUUCAUUUAUAUAUGUACGCUUCAGCGGAUAACUAUGCCCUCUAACUUUGACUAUGCAUAAGUAGACACACGUGUUCUAUGAGUUAUGUGGUAUAAUAUAUGUAGGACGCCACGUAGGACAUGAAAUUGUCAUGUAGAACGAGUGUGUUUAUUUGUUCAAUUUUAUACAAGUUUAAGUGUCUACUUGUGCAUAUCCAAAGUUAAAGAUCAUAGUUGUCAGCUAACGUCAAGUUACAAAUCAUGUUUAUGUAUUAUGCCCUUUAUAAAUUUAUUGGUAUAAAAUAACCUCAUUUUGCAACAUUUCAACAAAUAAAGACAAACUUAUUGUUCCAAAAUUUAGAUAUGAAAUUCGAAAAAUACUAGUAUUAGCAUAGCCGCCUAUAUUGAAAAUUCCAAAAAUGUCGUCAUUAAUUAUUAUGUUUUACUGUUCUACGUAGCCCCAAGUGUAUUUCAAUAAUUUGGAUCCGAAGAAUCCAUUCAGAAACAUAUUUUUGUCACUUUUGAUCUUGAUAAACACUUUAAAAAAAAUAUUUCUUUUGUGGAGGAAAAAACGGGUGUCACAUGUAGUUCAACACCUAUUUUUUAUCAAUCGCAUGCCCUCAACUAUCAAGAAAAAAACUGCUCAUAUAUAUUACAACCUUAGUUGCGUACACUCUUCACUUUUAAUGUCACAUUCGUUUCAGAUUCUUUAAAAAUACAUUAUUUUUGGCAAAUUCGACAUGCAUUCAUUGACAUUUUUGAAGAGUCCGAGCAACAUAGAUUAUAACUAGAUAUAGGACCCGUGCUAGCACGGGCCCAAUACAUGUACUUCCUCUGUCAUUUUAAUUGUUAUGUUGCACAUUUUGAAAGUUAAUUUAACUAAUUUUCAAAGAUAAAUUAGAGUACAUUAAUUCGAUAUUUUAAACAAAAAAUUUAGAUAUUCAAAAACUAUCUAAAUUUUUGAAAUUUGGACUGAGUGUUCCUAACAUCUUGGUGGUUGAUUUGAACGGUGGAGAUCGGAUUCGGAGGUCAGCAAGAUCCUGUUUGAGGUCCCGAACAGCAGCUGCGUUUGGGGGGUGUUUCUUUCUAUUUAUCUUUUGUUAGUGUAGCUAUUGUUUGUUCUCUUUUGACACGUGUUGUGUAGCCAUUAGAAAAAUAUUGGUAACCCUCUUAUUGUUAUAGUAAAGCAAUUCGGAUCUUGUUGAUCCCGUGGAUGUUACCUUCGGUUUGAAGUUGUUUUCCACGAUAAACUUGAUGUUCUUUAAUUUUUAAAUUUUUGUUUUCAUCUUUUCGUCACAACACUUGCAAGUUGUUUUAUAAUCAAUACUAACCUUAGUUUGUUACACUUUUCCGUUUGUAAAAAAAGAAUGUCUAUCUUUUCUUAUAUAGAAAUUAUUUUAACUUGGAAAUUUUCAUUUCCACUUUUAACUGCAUUAUUGAUUGAAAAUAUUUUUUCUUAUAUUUGACUACGCAUUAAAUAAUUUAGUCGGUUGCCUAAAAGAUAGUUCAUAAAGUCAUGGAAAUGAUUGAAUAAUUGAUUUAAAUGGAUUCUUUUUGUGUGAAAGCACGAUUUAAAAAGAAAGAACAUUGCUAAAAAUUAAAUUGAUUAGGACGCCACGUGUAGAACACAAAAUUAUCAUGUAGAACGAGUGUGUUUAUUUGUUCAAUUUUAUACAAGUUUAAGUGUCUACUUGUGCACAUCCAAAGUUAAAGAUCAUAGUUGUCAGCUAACGUUAAGUUAGGAAUCAUGUUUAUGUAUUAUGCCUUUAUAAAUUUAUUGGUAUAAAAUAACCUCAUUUUGCAACAUUUCAACAAAUAAAGACAGAUUUAUUGUUCCAAAAUUUAGAUAUGAAAUCCUCUGGAUGAAAAAUACUAGUAUUAGCAUAGCCGCCUAUAUUGAAAAUUCCAAAAAUGUCAUCAUUAAUUAUUAUGUUUUACUGUUCUACGUAGCCCCAAGUGUAUUUCAAUAAUUUGGAUCUGAAGAAUCCAUUCAGAAACAUAUUUUUGUCACUUUUGAUCUAAGAUAAACCCUUUAAAUAUAUAUAUAUAUAUAUAUAUAUAUAUAUUUCUUUUGUGGAGGAAAGAGGGGUGUCACAUGUAGUUCAACACCUAUCAAUCGCAUGCCCUCAACUAUCAAGAAAAAAACUGCUCAUAUAUAUUACAACCUUAGUUGCGUAGACUCUCUAUUUUUGAUGUCACAUUUGUCUCAGAUUCUUCAAAAAUACACUAUUUUGGCGAAUUCGACAUGCACUUAUCGACAUUUUUGAAGAGUCCGAGCAACAUAGAUUACAACUAGAUACAGGACCCGCGCUAGCACGGGCCCAAUACAUGUUACUUCAUCUGUUCAUUUUAAUUGUUAUGUUGCACUUUUUGAAAGUUAAUUUAACUAAUUUUCAAAGUUAAAUUAGAGUACAUUAAUUCAAAAUUUUAAACAAAAAAAUUUAGAUAUUCAAAAACUAUCUAAAUUUUUGAAAUUUGGACUGAGUGUUCCUGACAUCUUGGUGGUUGAUUUGAACGGUGGAGAUCGGAUUCGGAGGUCAGCAAGAUCCUAUUUUAGGUCCCGAACGGCAGCUGCGUUUGGGGGGUGUUUCUUUCUAUUUAUCUUUUGUUGGUGUAGCUAUUGUUUGUUCUCUUUUGGCACUUGCUGUGUAGCCAUUAGAAGAAUAUUGGUAACCCUCUUAUUGUUAUAGUGAAGCAAUUCGGAUCUUGUCGAUCCCGUGGGUAUUACCUUCAGUUUGAAGGAUUUUUCACGAUAAACUUGAUGUUCUUUAAUUUUUAUUUUCAUCUUUUCAUCACAACAUUUGCAAGUUGUUUUAUAAUCAAUACAACCUUAGUUUGUUACACUUUUCCAUUUGUAAAAAAGAAUGUCUAUCUUUUCUUAUAUAGAAAUUAUUUUAACUUGGAAUUUUCAUUUCCACUUUUAACUGCAUUAUUGAUUGAAAAUAUUUUUUCUUAUAUUUGACUACGCAUUAAAUAAUUUACUCGCUUGCCUAAAAGAUAGUUCAUAAAGUCAUGGAAAUAAUUGAAUAAUUGAUUUAAUGGAUUCUUUUUGUGUGAAAACACGAUUUAAAAAGAAAGAACAUUGCUAAAAAUUAAAUUGAUUAGGUCAAAUUUCCAUUUAUUCAUCAAAAAAACGUGUCAAUGUCUAAUUAUUCCACUUCAUCAUGAUACUUUUGAUCUUUAGUCCUAAGCAAUUUGGUAGAUUUUUGCUAACUUGCUUAGUUAUGAUGUACCAUAAUAUUUAUUUUUCAAAUUCAAAAUGUAAAAGAGGCAAGGUGAGUUCUUUUUCUAAUUAUAAAUUUGAUUGAAUAAUUUUGUAAAAGAAAACUUCUAAAUUGAAUAAUCUUAUUAAUAUAAACCAAAGUUAAAUGACUUUACUAACGAUUUUAUAAGAUACUUACUCAAAUAUAAUCCAUAAAGAAAUAUCACAUAAAAUGAGGCGUCCAAUUAACAUCCACUUGAAAUUGGCAGAAUUGCAACUUGGCACAUGGAGAUGAACUAUUGAAAUUGGACAAAUUUGGCAACUUUACUAUGCAAAAUUUCUCCUCUCUCUUUCUUCCACGUUUAUUUUGCCUAUAUUUCAUCUAUAAAUAAAUUAUUACAAACCUCAAUUAGUUGCCCAAAACAACACAUCCUUUCUUUAAUUAUUAAUUCCACUUCAAAUAGCCCUUUUGCUUCAAAUACUUUUGUGAUCUCAAUACAAUGGAGUCGUCAAGAAUUAGUUUGCGUCCAUUUAGAUUAACAGACGUUGAUGAUAUAUUAUUAUGGGCAGGUGAUAAACGUGUUACUAGUACCAUCCGAUGGGAUACUUUGACCACAAAAGAAGAAGCCUUGAGUUUCAUCAAGGAAGUGUGUAUACCUCAACCUUGGCAUAUAUCAAUAUGCAUCGAUGAUCGAUCCAUUGGGUUCCUAUGGGUAAUUCAUCCGGCCAUGUCGGAUGAUAUUGAAGCUGUAGAGAUAGGUUACGCGAUUGCAGUUGAGUAUUGGGGGAAAGGAAUUGCUACAAAGG
rnacentral:lncRNA from 1 species